UCUGGCGGUAUCAGAAGUGCGAAUGCUGACAUAAGUAACGAUAAAGCGGGUGAAAAGCCCGCUCGCCGGAAGACCAAGGGUUCCUGUCCAACGUUAAUCGGGGCAGGGUGAGUCGACCCCUAAGGCGAGGCCGAAAGGCGUAGUCGAUGGGAAACAGGUUAAUAUUCCUGUACUUGGUGUUACUGCGAAGGGGGGACGGAGAAGGCUAUGUUGGCCGGGCGACGGUUGUCCCGGUUUAAGCGUGUAGGCUGGUUUUCCAGGCAAAUCCGGAAAAUCAAGGCUGAGGCGUGAUGACGAGGCACUACGGUGCUGAAGCAACAAAUGCCCUGCUUCCAGGAAAAGCCUCUAAGCAUCAGGUAACAUCAAAUCGUACCCCAAACCGACACAGGUGGUCAGGUAGAGAAUACCAAGGCGCUUGAGAGAACUCGGGUGAAGGAACUAGGCAAAAUGGUGCCGUAACUUCGGGAGAAGGCACGCUGAUAUGUAGGUGAAGUCCCUCGCGGAUGGAGCUGAAAUCAGUCGAAGAUACCAGCUGGCUGCAACUGUUUAUUAAAAACACAGCACUGUGCAAACACGAAAGUGGACGUAUACGGUGUGACGCCUGCCCGGUGCCGGAAGGUUAAUUGAUGGGGU
rnacentral:rRNA from 1 species